rnacentral:tRNA from 1 species
GGAGGAGUGGCAGAGCUGGUUGAAUGCACCGGUCUUGAAAACCGGCGUACGUUCACGCGUACCGGGGGUUCGAAUCCCUCCUCCUCCG